rnacentral:ribozyme from 1 species
AGCCGUCAAGCCGGCUAUAAACAGUCCAUUAAGACUUGAGCGUUCGCCUGCCGUUGUGGUGGGCGAGGUUGGA